UCCUGGUCCCCAAGCUGAGGGGCGGAGCACACCCUCUUCAGUCCCAGCUCGCCAGAAUUGGGGCCAUUACGUCGCAGGGAAUGAGCUCGACUCAGACCGGUACGCUCAAGACUCUCCCGGCGUUUCUGUGGCACAAAGCGCGGACAUGGUGUUGGCUUUGUCUUUGGACUGGAAUUUGUAACCCAACUUGGGCACCGGCCACAAGGCUUUUACUGCGCAAGUGGGGUGACGUAUUCUGCGCCGUUUCCCUCAGGCCGACCUUGAUGUUGUCGUUAGCCGAAGAGAGCAGGUCACACAAAAUCUGGCGAAAACAAACAGCAUGUGAUCUGUCUGUCAAUUAUGUAGUCCUCAACAACUGCAGAAACCCUGAAAAUCCUCUGACAAGAUAACAAUUGGAAUUGGUGUAAACAAAAAUAUUGUCACUGUCCAAUAAAGAGCUGGGGAAAUCUUCGUCCAUAGCAAGGCAAUUGAGGAAGACUUGGAGGGAUUGAUCUACUUCGCCCAUCUCGUGAAGCACCAUGGCUUUCCUAAACAAAGCCUACCAGGACAUAACAUCAAAUUUAGGAGGUUGUUACAAUCAC